CAGUCGCCGCGGUAAUACGAAGGGUGCAAGCGUUAAUCGGAAUUACUGGGCGUAAAGCGUGCGUAGGCGGUGAGUUAAGUCUGCUGUGAAAUCCCCGGGCUCAACCUGGGAACUGCGUCUUAUACUGCAUAGCUUGAGUACAAUAGAGGGUAGUGGAAUUUCCGGUGUAGCGGUGAAAUGCGUAGAUAUCGGAAGGAACACCAGUGGCGAAGGCGGCUACCUGGAUUGAUACUGACACUGACGCUCAUGCACGAAAGCGUGGGGAGCAAACAGGAUUAGAGACCCCAGUAGUCCCUGUCUC
rnacentral:rRNA from 1 species